GGUGGCUCAGUGGUAGAGCGCUUGUCUUGCAUGCAUGAGCCCCUGGUUUGAUUCCUGAGCACCA
rnacentral:tRNA from 1 species